UUAGACAGAUUUAUCCAAUAAAGGGUAAGCAGCGCGGUACAGAGCACCUGCCUUCUGUCAUAUAAUAACACUUCCUUCUCUUCCUCUGUGCUGCUUUAUUUACUCUCUUUCAAAUUAUUCUUUGUCCUUCGUUGACAAAGAUAAAUGAAGGGAUUAAUAUAUAUUGGAGAAAUCUCCCAGCAGCCCGAAAGAACAGGGAGACGGAGGAUAGCAUUUCCCCCAGGCAGUGAGUCAUAACCCAAUAAGCAUCUGUCUUUUGGCUCUGAACGGGGAAUCGCAGAGGGACACGUCCCAUCGAUGGAGGGAAAGUGACGCUUUACUACCUGCAUGGUACCUGGAGAAAAAUUGGGAAGAAGCGUGUUCUGUCUGCAUGAAGCUGCCCCCGCUGUUCACAGAGUCGCACGGCGAGGCUCACAAAGGCCGAAAACUCUGAGCAGUGGUAUGUACCUGCGUGACUGCAAACAAGAGCCUGGGAAGAGGAUGAAACGGAACAGGGCCUUCCAUUCCCAUCUGCUCCAUUUCUGUGUUCACACCUAAAUAUCCAUUUAUAUCACUUAUUUCUAAAUGGCAAGUAUGUACUACCCACCCAAGUAUGUACUACCCACCCAAGUAUGUACUACCCACCCAAGUAUGUACAUUUAUCAGAAUUGUAUCAAAAAAGCCCCACAAACCUGGUUGUAUGGCAAUAAAAGCUACUGUCCUGU